UUCGGCCAUCCCACAGACCCAGCCUCCUCCCCCUGGACGGGCACCAGGGCCGGGACAUGGCCGGGGACACUCCCACCCUCCUCUGGCACCACAAAGGGGCUUUGCCUGGAGCAGGAGGAGCCUCCAAGUCACCGCUACUGUAUCUGAGACCAGCUGAAUGUUCCCAGGGAAACGUCCAACGCCGGCUCUUGCUCAGGUAAAGCUGGAUGGGGAUGCAAAGGCUUUACCUGAGCAAAGCCCCUCUGGGCCUGUCACCAAAACCAACACGGGGCUCGUUUCUCCGAGGUCGGGGGAACAUCCUGGUGGUCGGGGGGAGUUCCUGGCUGUCCCCAGCCCUGCUGGACAGCCCUCGGCCUGGGCUGGUACCUCUGGGGCACAUGGUGACAGCUCUCCCACGUUCUGUCCUGCCUUCCUGCAUUUGGGCAAAUAUUGCACCUUUUUUAAGAGGGGAAGGGGAAGAAAAAAACCCCAGGCACACACACAAAACUUGUAGUUAAAUCCUGACUGAUGGGGGGGGGGCUUAAAAAGUCAGGGCUCAAUUUCCUGUAAGAGUGGGACUGUGGCUUCUGCCUGCCCUGCUCGAGCUGUGGGUGCCUGGGGCCACAUCUCAGCCACAUCCCUGCCUGUCCGUGUGUGUUCCCAGUCCAGGAAUGGGGUCUGGGCUCCCAGUGGCCACGGGAAGUGUCUGAGCCCACAGGGCCGAGGUCCCACGUCUUCCUCCCAGCAGGGCUGUGCUGUUGUGGUCGGCUCUGCGGGUCCUUGGCUGCCUGAGCCACCACUCCCAGGCACAGCCCGGCCCUUCCCACCAGCGCUUCCACCGCCUGGAGAAGCACCCGGAGCCUCGUGUUGGUCGUGUGUGCACCUUCAGAGCCCUCACUGGGGGGGGGGAGGGUGUGGUGGGAACCCUCCCAAAUCCCACUGUCUCCUCGUCCCCGGCGGCCGCGUGUCUCAUCCAGGGAUCUCUUUGUUUACUGUCUGCUUGUCCAAGACAUGUGUGUGUUGAUCUGACUUUUUGUUUUUACGAUUGAGUUCGAGUGGGGUGGUGAAGACUGAAUGCUGAUUUUUCUUUUCCUGUUGGCUUGAUUUAAUGCAGACCUGUGCUUGAAUGAAGAGUGUAGCUUAAAGCCAGGCUCUGGAAAGGCUGCAUCCGGAAGCGAACAAGCACAGCAGAUAGUGCAGGUGUAACUGCCAUGGGAACAAAGUCCUCCAGACUCUGAUUACUGUGCAACGUGGGGCACAACAGCCUGGUCAGGGCGUUUUCCUUCUGCAGGAGGAGGCUCCUGCUGCUCUAGGAAACCUCCAACGUGUGAGUUACAGCAGCAAGUAGCUGCUGUCUGAUGGGUUUGCUUUUGUAAAUUGGAAUCACUGUCACGCAAGAGACGAGACUUGAAACCCUGAGGUUGAGCUCGUGAGUUCGUGGGGCUCAACUCGGGGCCACUUGGUCACCCCUUGGUCGGCCCAUGGUCACACGGUACGGCCUGUGAGGAGCAACUGGGGCCUCCCCCAGGGCUGUGGAGUGAGCAGGUACCUCUGAGGGCUGAGGGAUGAACAGGUACCUCCCCAGGGCUGAGAAUGAACAGCUACCUCCCUCAAGGCUGAGAAUGAACAGGUACCUCCCCGUGGGCUGAGGAACAAACAGGUACCUCCCCCAGGGCUGAGAAUGAACAGGUACCUCCCCCAG